UUCGUCAUGAGUCUCGUUUUCUCAAUGUC
rnacentral:sRNA from 1 species